rnacentral:lncRNA from 1 species
GUACAAGGUUAUUGCAGGGAUUGAAUGAGGUGCUACAGGAACUUACUACAGGGCCUGGAACAUAGUAACUCUUUAAGUGCCGAGAGCUGUUAUCAUUAUUGUCAGUAUUGCAGAGGUGGUAGUGAUGAAUCAGAAAGCCUCUUGGAGAAGUCAGAAUCUGAGCUGAGCCUUAACAACUAGGUAGAAUUUAGAGGGGACUUCCCAGGGGGUGCGAGUGGUAAGAAACCUGCCUACCAAGGCAAGAGAUGCAGGAGAUGUGGGUUCAAUCCCUGGGCUGGGAAAAUGCCCUAGAAAAGGGCAUGGCAACCCACUCCAGUGUUCUUGCCUGGAAAAUCCCAUGGACNNNNNNNNNNNNNNNNNNNNNNNNNNNNNNNNNNNNNNNNNNNNNNNNNNNNNNNNNNNNNNNNNNNNNNNNNNNNNNNNNNNNNNNNNNNNNNNNNNNCCAGUGUUCUUGCCUGGAAAAUCCCAUGGACAGAGGAGCCUGGCUGGCUAUAGCUCAUGGGGUCACAAAGAGUGGACACAGCUCAGCGAGUGAGCGCACACACAUACCCAGGAUUUACAGAGAACCAGGGGAGCAAGAUGGGAGAGAGGGGUCAUACAGGGAAAGGUUCAUGGAGGCAGGAAAACAGGAGGGGUACUUCAGGCAGUGGUGGGGGCUCCAAGGAAAAGAGAAUUACCAGGUAGGAGAGACCAAGGAAGUCACAGCCCAAGGCCACACAUGGGUGCUUAAGCUGCGAUCUCUAAGGAAAAUUGCACAAAGAAGGCUCUGUGACCCCAAUACUCUCUAAGCCACUGGAUCCUCCCCACUUCCUAAAUGUUCAAACUCUGGAGGAUGGAUACAGAGCAGGUGUCACUUCGAAGCCAUAGAGUCAUUUAAAAUGCUGCCAUUUUUGAAAAAUUAAUUUAGUUCUACAAACCUUAUUCCACAGAUAUGAAUUGACCACUACUCAUUAGCUCAUAUUUAAGUCAGCAGAGACCAAAGGCAAAAGUGGAAACGUCUUCCCAGACCCAGAUGAAAAAGACCAAAGUAGCACUUUUAGAAGAACACACACAAAGGGAUUUUCCAAAACAUGUACAACCUUGUUUUAUAAUUCAGGGCCUGAAAGAGAAGCCAGGUGGCCUAUCUGCAGAAGCAGCACUCAGGAGGCUGAUAACUCAGCUCAUGGGUGUGCAUUUCAGGUACAAAGUGUCUGCUGGGGUGCCCAGGAAAAUAAGUUGGGGGACAAAGGUAGCCAGGUUAACCUGACACAGCUGCUGAAUUAUCCAGACGCUCCCUGGCACAACCUUUGCCCCCUCUUUCGACACAGAAAGCAGAUGAAAACCUCCUCAUCAGGAAAACCACAGUGGGAGGCAAUGUCAAGGAGACUGCCCCCCAAAAUACUAAACCAUGACCUACAUAAGUAACGUCCAAACACCUCCAAGGGCUUCCCUGGUGGCUCAGAUGGUAAAGGAUCCACCUGCAACGCAGGAGACGUGGGUUCAAUCCCCAGGUUGGGAAGAUCCUCUGGAGAAGGGAAUGGCUACCCACACCAGUAUUCUGCCUGCAGAAUCCCAUGGACAGAGGUGCCUCGGUGGGCUACAACCCAUGGAGUUGCAAAGAGUUGAACACGACUGAGCAACUAGCAAAAAAAAGAAACACCUUCAAGGGAAAACAGUGUGGAAAUGUUACAAAUAUGAUCACCCAGGAAAUCAGCUGUCUAAGUGAAGAUGUACAUCGUGGAUCUAUGUGUCCUUUGACCAUGUAAAUACUGCAUGUUUUUCAUUCAUUAGCGGCUGAAAUAAAAACCUACGGCCUUUCGUCACAAGGAGAUAACCCACUGCUAUGUGAAUUUCUUUUCUCCCUCCUCCAAUCAUUUAAUCAGUCAAUUCCUCUGACUUGCUCUCAGCUGUCAGACCCUUGAUGUCACUUCAGGGCUCCAGAAUUGCCCCCAUAUGCCUGUGAUCCUAGUGACCUGCUCCUUGUCACAGAAUUCUUUCUUUCUGGUCGGUUUCCUACGGAACACCAGGAGGCUCCUAUUCAGAUGUGAGCAUGCCUACCUCCCACACUGAACACACUGAUGGUCAUUCUCACCUGGACAGCAAUUCAUUUCUCAGGUAACCAUCUGCCACGUUGAAAAAGGAGAAAAGCGUCUUGGGGCAGGGUUUUCUGGAUGGUGACAGCUGAAGAGAAGAAUACGAGGUCCAGUGUACUCUCUGUGGAGCAGUGAGAUCAGGGAAUUACCCAGAAACCGCAGUGGAGUGGAAUCCGGCCCGAGAGCUGCAGUUCUUGAGCCCGCAUUCCUAGGGCCCAUGCUCCACAAGAGACACCGCUGCAGUGAGAAGCCUGCACACCCCCACGAGAGAGCAGGCCCUGCUUGUCACAGCCAGAGACAGACUGCACGCAGCUAGACUCAGCACAGCCAGCAAUAAAUACACAACAAAUUAAUUUUUUAAAGUGUCCUUGCUGAAGCAGUAAAAUCUCUAUAUUAAUUGUAUUAAAUUUUAUCAUCUUUGUAAUAUUCUGUAUAGGGAUGGUUGUCUUGAGGUAAAGCACUUGUACAAUUGAGUUGCAAGCCCAACUGUCACACUUAAGAUUUAUGCUCUUUUAGUGAAAAUUGUAAUGACAUAAGUGUGGCUUCACAUGCAGUUGUGAGAAAGAAUACACAGAGAUCUCAUGAACACUUAACUCGGGUUCCCAUGAUGGUACCAUCUUGCAAAACUAUAGCCCAAUAUCACAGCCAGGAUACUGCCUUCAACACUAGCCUCCCAUCUUAGUCAGAUCUCCCUGGUUUCAUCUGUACACCUGUGUGUGUGUACGUGUGUGUGUGUGUGUAUUUAGUCCUACAGUUUUAUCAUAUGCUCAGGUAUCCACCACAGUCAUCUGACAACUGUUUUCCAUUUCUAAGCUUUUCUCAUUUCAAAGAUGUUACAUACAAUGGAAUAUAUAACCUGUAACACUUUGGGACUGGCUUUUUUCACUCAGCAUAAUUCAUCUAAAUUGUUGCACACAUCAAUACUUCAUUCCUUCUUAUUGCUGACUGCUGUUCCACAGUGUGCAUGUACCACAGUUUGUUUAUCCUGUUGAAGGACAUCUGGGCUGUUUCCACUUAAGGGCUAUUACAAAUAAAGCUGCUAUGAACAUUCACGCACUGAUUUUUGUGUGAACACAAACUUUCAUUUCUCUGGGAAAAUGCCCAAGAGUGUCAUUACUGGAUCAUAUGAUAAUAGCAUGAUUUGUUUUAUAAGAAACUGCCAAACUGUUUUCCAGAAUGGUUGUAGCUUUUAUAUUCUCAUCAGCAAUGUAUGAGUGAUCAACCUCUCUUCAUCCUUGUCAACAACACCAAACAUCAAAUUGUUGUCACUAUUUUAGGCACUCCAGCAGAUAUAUAGUGAGAGCUCAUUGUGGUUUUAAUUUGCAUUUCCUUGAAGGCUAAUGAUGCUGAACAUCUUUUCAUGUGCUUAUCUGCCAUCUGUAUAUCAUCUGUAUUCAGAACAGCUCUUGCCCAUUUUCCAAUUGGAUUUUUUUUUAACUGUUGAAAAUGAUUUUUAUUGAAGUGGAAAUUUGCUUACUUUUCUCAAUAGGAAGUCCAUCUUGUAAAUUUCAUUUAACUGGAAGUUAGCUUUACCCUAGAGCAGUUUCAGAGGUGGUGCUGAGGGUUGUUUAUGCCUGCUAGGUUAAGUACUGCUAAGUUGCUUCAGUCGUGUCNNNNNNNNNNNNNNNNNNNNNNNNNNNNNNNNNNNNNNNNNNNNNNNNNNNNNNNNNNNNNNNNNNNNNNNNNNNNNNNNNNNNNNNNNNNNNNNNNNNCUUCAGUCAUGUCUGACUCUGUGCGACCCCAUAGACGGAAGCCCACAAGGUUCCCCCAUCCCUGGGAUUCUCCAGGCAAGAACGCUGGAGUGGACUGCCAUUUCCUUCUCCAGUACAACCUCUCUGUAAUUAUUUUGUUAAGUAUACUGCAGUUUCUGUUUAUGCAGUCAGUGUGUCAUGGAACCUCACAGCAGCCUAGUGAAGUAAUGUA